GCCUUCCUAGCUCAGCGGUAGAGCGCACGGCUUUUAACCGUGUGGUCGUGGGUUCGAUCCCCACGGAUGGCG
rfam:Trypanosoma cruzi strain CL Brener tcruzi_1047053509105, whole genome shotgun sequence.